rnacentral:lncRNA from 1 species
GGAAGUCGUAAGCUGGUGCCGUGGUGCUGAGCCUUCCCGCAGACCCACGCUUGCCCCACGGCGGCUGCACCGCCCGUCUCGCCCGCACGGAGCGGGCUUCGGAGCAAGGCUGCGCGUCCGGUUCAGCCCAGGAAAGCACUUGCGGAGUGCAGCAAUAUAACCCAGCUCAGGACUGCUACCCGAAGGACCGAAGAGCCAAUAAACAGCAGGAAGCGUUCCRACGGGGGAGCAUCCCCGGCUGCACGCGCAACGGCCGCGGGGGCCAGCGCGCGCCCCGGGGCUCGGCACCGCCGGGCAGGCGCCAGCCAAACUGCCUGGAGCAUUUUGGUCGGCCGAGCCUCAGCGAGCCGCAAGGGGCUGCGAGGGGCGAGCGGCUCGGCGGCGGCAGCAGGUCGCAGUGGGAACGCUCCUGCGGGAGAGGCUGCAGGGCUGAGCCCAGAAGGAAACACAAAUGAAGGCGCUGUUUUGGAGGCUGAGAUGGGGGGCGGCUGCUCGACAGGGAGCUGGAAGGGGGAUCCACAGCUCUUCCACCCCCCCCCCCAAGGCUGCUCUGCCUCUUCCGCCUCUAACUCACGAGCCCUCUCCUCCGCCAGCGAAGACCCUGCAGGAAGGACCCCGUGACCGAGCGGGACCCAGCCGUCGCCGCGGCACCUCCUGAGYGGGUGGCAAUCGGGCUCCCCCGCCCCACCGCUCUUGCUGUGGCCGCUGGCGACGGCGAAGGUCUCCUCUGUGCAGGGCAUGGCUUUCCGCGCUGAAAGGUGCCUCGCAAGUUAAGCGCUUGGAAGGAAGGCGCUACGCGUCAGGAUAACUUUGCCUGGCAGCGAGGAAUGUGGGAGGCGUGUUGGUCGUGCAGCGAGGCAGAGGAAAAGCUCUAACGAACACCCCAGCUGAGGGGGCUCCUCAGCUCGCUCCCCAUUUCUUCCAGGUUGUUCCAUAAGGUGCUUUCACCAUGGAAAUAUUUUAAGUUCCUGUCAAUUCAGUAGCAGCGUGCAUAAUGUGGCGCGGCAAUAAACACCUUGCCCUUUGCA